GCUACCGGUGAUAGCAUGUUGAAUGCAACUUAUGCAACAGUUCCCAAUGGUUCACUGAAGUCAAGCAACGAUGCGCGUGGUUAGUGUCCGGAUGGGUGACCAUCUGGGCACUCGCCUGCUGCUAAAU
rfam:Asian citrus Psyllid, Diaphorina citri - Florida Strain, whole genome shotgun sequence.